rnacentral:sRNA from 12 species
GGCCAUAAGGGUUAGUAUUACCCUUAUGGCAAACAUGUAGCAUGUAGCA